rnacentral:lncRNA from 1 species
AACGUAUUUGAGAUCGCCUCAAAAAGUUUAGCUGCUUAAAUGCCUAAAAUUUGCAGGUUGCAGUUGUUUGUCAUCAGUGCUUGCGACGGUGAUGUGGGACAAUAAGUGUGUUUGGCACAUUUGCAAGAUCACCAUGAUAAGCAUGCUGUCCUCGUUAUGUCUCUUUCAUGGAAGAGACAGGAUUCUGUAACUUUCAAUACAUCUUUACAUGGAAUAUUUCCCAAAAUAAUACCCUGAUGAUGCUUUUUUCUUCUUGGUUGGGUGAACUUGAAUGUUACUCCACUGAUGUUUUAAUGAAUAGUGUUAUAAGAGGAGGGGUACAAUAAAACUCUUCUUUUUUUGUUAACGAGAUUGUUAGCUUACGCUACAUUGUAGGCUAGAUUAAGAUUCUUUUCAAUGUGAAAAAUGUUCAAGCAUGGCUAAUAAGUUUUCUAGUAGAAAAAAAAAAAAAGAUUAUGUGAGAAUUAAUUAAUUCGAUUUGACAUGUUUAACUUGAUAGGUUUAAAGGUAACCCAAAUGACGAGUAAAAUCAUAGUCUAACUAAAAACACUCAAGACAACCAAUUUUUUUUUAAAAAAAAUAUCAAAACAUGAACAUAUUAGAAGGAUUUGAGUCAACUUGUUAAAUUCGAAACUUAGAUCAUGAUAACUCAAUAUAAAACAAAUCAAAAUAAAUUAUGAAGUUAAAUUCUCAAUCAAUCCAAUAUUGAAUGAUGAGAUUGAAAAAAAAAAUAAAAACAAAAAAAAUAACAUAAGCUAGCUUGAGCUAACAUGUCCAAUUCAUAACCUGAGUCGUGAGACUAGGAAAACCCCUUAAAAAGUAAAUCGAAACAAAUUAUGAAGUCUAAUUCUACGGUCAAUCCAAUAUUGAAGAAUGAAGUUGAAAAAAAUAAAUUAAAAAAGGACACAAAAAAUGACCCUAGUCAACCCGAGUUAACCGUUAAACCCAUGAUCCGAGUUAUGAGAUCGGGAUAACCUCAUAGAAAACAAAUCAAGAAAUUGACCCGUGACAACCCAAAUUACCUUGCCAAAACCGCAACUCGGAUCAUGAGAUAACUUUAUAUAAAACAAAUUGAAACAAAUUAUGAAACACAAUUUUUAAUCAACCUAUUUUUGAACAAUGAAAUUGAAUCCAAUAAAAAAAUAGACGAAAAAUAUCUCGAGUCAACUAAAAUUAACCUACAAAACUUGUGAUCAUGGUCAUUAGACCAAGAUAAUAUAAUAGAAAUUAAAUCGAAACAAAUCAUGAAAUCCAAUUCCUAAUCGAUUUAAUAUUAAAUGAUGAAAUAAAAAAAACACCAAUUAAAAUGAAAAAAUCCAAGUCCAUUGGGUUAAUACGCUAAACUCGUAACACAAAUCAUGAAAUUAGAAUAAUUACAUAAAAAACAAACAACAAAAAAAUCAUGAAGCUUAAUCUAUAAUGCAUUAAAUUAAACGUUGAAUAAUAAUAAUAAAAAAAAAACAAAGGCAACGAAAAAAAAUACUUAUAUAAUAAAUAGUAUUUUUCAAGGUGAUGCGCUGGAAGAAAAAACUAUUGAUUUUAGUAUUAAGUUAAUUAAUUUUAAUUCCAAUAUCAUUUUUUUAAGCUCAAAUAUAAUAAUCCAACAAGCAUUAUUAUUACACCGAUGUUCCAGACGUUCCCGUGCAUACGAUAUCCUGGCUGUACUAAUUGAAAAGAUAAUCAGAAGAAAAAAUUGUUAGGUGUGAGAGAGAGAGAGAGAGAGAGAGAGAGAGAGAGAGAGAGAGAGAGAGAGAGAAGUGGGGUAAAGGUUUAUGGGCAGAUUUUACGUAUGCUCUCCCAACCAGGAUUUUAUGCUCUCCAGAUUUUUUGUUAACACAUGUAAUCACCAAGAACAAGAGGAGCAGAAGGUGUUAAUGGAGUUUUAAAGUUUGAACUUGAGUGAAAUUACAUUCCUCAACUGCCCCCCACAAGUAUUGCCCCCCCAACUUGUGGACAGCCUAAGAGCACAAGAAGUAUGUGAAAAGGAUAAACAAACACAAACUUUUCUUUUUUCUUGGUGUUUUGUAGCUGUUUAACGGACAAAAGCUUAAUAAUCUUCCCUUUUUUAAUGGGAGCACAAUUAUUUGGUUUGCUUUCUCAUUUCUCCAAGCCCUUUGCAACCUAUACGGGCCAUGGGGGAGAAAAUAAUCACCAUUCUAAGUUUGAUCUCAACCCUCAACAUUGAGUGAUAAUUGUCUACUUUUGAGUAGCAUGUCUAAACCCACUAGACAAUAGUGUAGAAUAUCUUGUGUUGUUUUGUUUGGAAUUUUUUUUUUUAAAUUCGAGGAAACCCCACCUCUCGAAAAGUGUACUUUGUGAGCCCAGGUGAGCGAGUAAAAUCACGGUUAUCCCAGACUUUUACAAGAGGUGCACGUCCUGACUCGAACUCGAGACCUGCUGUGUAGAUCUCAAGCUCUUUACCAUCACGCUACGCCCCUUGGGAACUUUUUUGGACUGAUAAAUCCAAAUUCAUAAAUGUUAGCUUACAAGCUUAAAAAAAAAAAAAAAAAACUCUCAUAGUUUUAUCCUGAUGUAACCUUAAAGAUCGCAUAUUGGAGUAGCACUUGGUGCCUCAAAAAGUAAUUGAAAAUACCUUUUCAAAUAUGUUUAAAUUAACCAAAAAAAAUAUUCAACUUAUUAUGUUUUAAUGAUAUUGAUAUUGUCAUUAAAACAUUCACAUUUUUAUUUCGUAUUAAAAACGGAAAUGUAUCAUAUUCUCACAGCUAGUAUUGGAACUUCAACGUAAAUGCAUCGACAAGCACGCGAUUCCGACCAAAUCAAAUCUAUGGAUUUCAAAAAAAAAAAAAAAAAAAACCAUAUCUACAAACUUAGAUGUUAGAUGUUGAGGUAAUAGAUUUGGCUCGGCAUUCCGAUUCUUAACCAUUAUGUUAAAUAUUUUAUUUAUUUUUGUGUUUAAAAUAUUUUUUUAAAAAAAUUAUUUUUUUUAUUUUUUUCUUGCUUUCAAAUUAAGUUUUUUGGUAUUUUUAUAUUGUUUUAAUGUGCUGAUGUCAAAAAUAAUUUUUUUAAAAAAUUUUUUAUUUUGAUAAAUUUCUUAACCAAAAAUACUUUGAAAAAUAACUGUAACCAUAUUCUCAAACACCCAUUUAAUAUAGUAAAUGGGUGGAUUUUUUUUGGCUAUAAGUAUAAAUAAUAAAACUUUAGGUUAUAAUCUAGGUAGAAGAACAAGGCAACCUUUGAAAUGUAGAGACGUAGAUGUCUCACAGGAGCUUGGCAUUUUCUUUUUGAGCUAGAGUGAGUCAGAUUGGAUUAAAAGCAAUCAAUUUUUGAGUUAGAUUAGCUUAAAAAGAAUUUACCAGGACCGAAGCAUGUCCGAGCCAUGACCGAAUGUGCUUGUUGGUUUUUCAAAAUUUCUUUAAAAUCCAAAAUUGACGCCAUAUCCAAGACUUGGAAGUGAAUACAACGUAAAUGAUACCAGAGCCCACCAAUCACCCAGACCGAGAAUUUAAGUAUUAACACAGUAGCCCAUCUCUUGUUUCGGGCCUAGUGUGUGUGUGUGUGUGUGUGUGUAUUCCACAAGAUUUUUCAUUCAAGAGAACAGGUUUACUGGACCAGGAGAGCCCAUGUUUCUAAAGAUGACAGGCUCUUACAGACUGUCUUAACCAAACUAACUCCCUAUUGGACAGGACAGAACAAAACAAAAGCAUAAUUAUUAGAUCAUUAGACUUUUAAAUGUAAUUGAACAUCUUUUACUAUUUCCUUACAAAUCUGUGGGGUUGGAGGCAGGUUGUGACACGCAAGGCGUUGAAUGAUGAAGUUGUCUUUUUGAAAUGAAGGGUGUAUUAGUUAGAAGGAUUUAUCGUUUAGUAUUCUAUUCACUAAAAAAUCUAUAAUUUAGAAGAAUCUAGAAAACAUUGUGACACGCACAUUCACUCAUGCACCCGAUAAAGUGUCAUGGAAAAUUGUGAAUUUUUUCCGUGAUUGAUUUGUUUUGCUUGGUGUUUCAUGCAUGUAUAUGACCUUAUUGUGCAUUCCUUGACAUAUUUUCAGAGAGAUAAGCAAGACAGAAGGAGACUAAUUUGUGCAGUCGCCACAGAACCAUUACCCAAGCAAGUUGAAGAAUCCAAAAUGGACGCACCAAAAGAAAUCUUUCUCAAGGAUUACAAGUUGCCUGACUACUACUUUGAUUCGGUAUGCAAAAACUUAGUCGAGUUUGGAAUAUAGACAUCUAGGACUCUGAUUUUCUUUCUUUGGCUUUCACUUAUCCUCAUGUACUUGUAUCCUUAUCUUAGGUGGAUUUGACAUUUUUGCUGGGUGAUGAGAAAACAAUUGUUAGUUCGAAAAUAACUGUUUUACCCAGAGUUGAAGGUAACUAUUAAGGCCAUUCUUUGCUCGUAGAAUUUGAUCAGACAUCUGUAGGAAAUUUGCAAAUGUUGUUCUUACAAUGGCAGUUCAUACCAUAGCACUGGCUAAUCGAACACUAUUGUUGAAUAGGUUCUUCUUCUCCGCUAGUUUUGGAUGGAGCAGACCUGAAGCUGCUUUCAGUUAAAGUCAAUGGUGAGGAACUGAAGGUAUGUAUAUUUCACUCUUCCAGAUGUUGGCUUAGCUUGUGGAUUUUUCCACUUAACUAUAUUGGAAAGCUUUUUUGCCUUUUCGAUCCUGAUAUUUGUCUACACUCUUUCCUAUAGGAGGUUUUGAUAAUGUUAUACCUUUUCCUUUUUUUGCAUUUUAUUAGUCCAAGGAUGCUGACACCCAGUUAGAACAGUUGCCAUUUUGUGAUGUUUGGCACUUUAUUCCUUUUCUUUCCUCAUCUCUCUCUCUGUUUUUUUUUUCUCUUCUUUCUCUCUUCUUUCUUUUUUUGGGGCGGGGAGGGUUUAAGAUAAUUUGGUGAUGAUUUAACACAACUUUAUUUUUGCGCUUUUCUUUUUUCCAGAAUGGAGAUUAUCAUUUGGAAUCACGCCAUUUAACAAUCCUAUCACCACCUUCUGGUAAAUUUACGUUGGAAAUUGUUACUGAGAUAUAUCCCCAGAAGAACACAUCAUUGGAGGUACAACAUAUUUUCUCUCGUCCUUUUCACAGAUGCUUCUUGUGACUGUUUGCUAGAUUUGAAGUUGCACUAUCCUUUUUUCUCUUUAGGGACUUUACAAGUCAUCUGGGAAUUUCUGCACUCAAUGUGAAGCAGAGGGUUUCCGCAAAAUUACAUAUUAUCAGGUUAAUUCAUAGAACCAUUUAAUUCUAUUGAUUCAUUCUGCUAAAUACAACUUUAAAAUAUUUUAUUUUAAUAUGUUAACAGGAUCGCCCUGAUAUAAUGGCAAAAUACACUGUCCGGAUUGAAGCUGAUAAAUCUUUGUACCCAGUAUUGCUAUCUAAUGGAAAUCUCUUGGAACAAGGAGACCUUGAGGUGAAUUUACCUGUUAUGUAGAAUAGCCUCCCCCAUCCACCAAAAAAUAAAAUAAAAUUAAUCACCAUCGAAUGUCUGCUUCUCUGGUUCUGUUGCAGGGUGGUAAGCAUUAUGUUCUAUGGGAGGAUCCCUUCAAGAAACCUUGCUAUUUGUUUGCAUUGGUUGCUGGACAGCUGGAGAGCAGAGAUGACAUGUUUGUUACCCGUUCUGGUCGAAAUGUGUCACUAAGAAUUUGGACCCCUGCACAAGAUGUACCCAAGACAGCACAUGCCAUGUAUUCACUUAAAGCAGCAAUGAAAUGGGAUGAGGAUGUUAGUAUCUUCCUAUCUAACCCAUUAUUUAAAAAUAACAUCAAACCUAACUUUUGGGUUUUAGUGUUAAGAGUCUUACCAUUUUAUCAUGCGACUCUGCAAACAGGUUUUUGGUCUUGAAUAUGACCUAGAUCUCUUUAACAUUGUUGCUGUCCCUGAUUUUAACAUGUAAGUUACAUUCUUUGUUUAGUAAAACGUGCUCAUAUAAUAGCCCUUUAUCUUGUUUGAUCUGUAUAAUGGUGACAAAUACUGUUAGUUUCAUGCACUUAAGCACUCACACUACUUGUUUCUGAUUGAUUGUCAGGGGAGCCAUGGAGAACAAAAGUUUGAAUGUAUGUCAUCUAACAUUCUCGAGUUCAUCAUCAUUUAUAUUUGUUUAUUUUAUCUUCUUAUUAACACCAAAAAUUAAUUGAUCUUAUCUAUAUGGAUUUCCUUUUGGCAGAUUUUCAAUUCCAAGCUUGUUUUGGCAUCCCCAGAAACUGCUUCAGAUGCAGAUUAUGCUGCUAUUCUUAGGGUUAUUGGCCAUGAGGUUUGUUAUGAUAUAACAGAAGGAGCAUAUUUUUUCAAAACCUUUUGUAUGAUUCCGAGGAAUGUAUUGUUUUGACUUGAAUUUUGUCUUGUUUCUAUCUGCAGUAUUUCCACAACUGGACAGGCAACAGGUUGGCUUAAAGUCCUCCCAUUUUUUAUCCUGUCUUUAUGCCAGUGUUAUUGCAUUCUAUUUUUAUAUGCAGAGAAAUAAGAUCUGUGUUGUUGCAGUAUGUUUGUAGUGGAUUUGUUGUUCUAGUGGUCAUGGAGAUGAAUGUAUUUUUUAUUGCUUUUGUUUUAUUGUGAAUUACUGUAUGUAUUGAAACUUUAAUUAAGUGAUAUCUGAAUAAAUGCAGGGUUAUGAAGCUGACGCGGAUCGUCGCACGAUCGGGCCUUCUAACUGUAUUUCGUGAUCAGGUAGAACUCUUUUCUUUCCUAUAUAACGAGUGGCAAUUUCAUAGUCAUAUUAGUACCUUCUUUAUUUAUUCUUGAAAAUCUUUCAACAAUGCUAGGAGUUUUCAUCUGAUAUGGGAAGCCGCACUGUGAAGAGGAUCUCUGAUGUUUCAAAGCUUCGAAUUUCUCAGUUCCCACAGGUUCUUUCUUGUCCUUUUUCACAAUUUUGAAGUGAUGUCUUAAGUAUUAAUCUUCAGGUGUUUAAAUUACUUUCACAAUUAUAAGUUGAUACAUGAGUAUGCUUUCUCUAUAAUUUCACAUGGAUUCUGAUACAACAUACUAUAUGCAAGCACUAACAAAGCUAUUUUGUAAUCAUUCAGGAUGCCGGUCCUAUGGCUCAUCCAGUGCGACCACAUUCAUAUAUCAAGGUAUGAAAUCUACUUAUUUAUCAAAGAACUUUUCUGUUAAACUAUCUGCUUGCUUUAAACUUAAUUUUUAGAUGUGUACUGUAUUCAAUGUCGCUGCCUCUUUAUCCACAGAUGGACAACUUCUACACAGGUUAGUUUCUGCUCUGUAUGACUUAUUCAGUCAAAGCUUCAUGAAACACUUUGCUUUCAAGUGGUUUGGAAUUUGGUCUUUUAACUUUUUUGAUAUUUGGCUGUCUUUUGCAAUGACGUUGGGUUCAUUCUGAUACGGGACUUUUCACCGCCAAAAAUUUGCAGUGACGGUAUGGUUUGGAAAUUUGUGGUUGCAUCUUUUAAUUUUGUUCAGUUUUCCUCCUUUCACGAGGCCAGUUACCUCAUUGUUAAUCUUUUGGGUUUUCUUUCUUGUUUUUCUUCGUUGCAGGUGUAUGAAAAGGUAUGAAAGCAUUCUCAUCUUGUGUAUAUGUGUGCAUGUGUGUGGAUAAGGAGCACUGUUGAUGCAUCAAAUUCUUAUUUUUGUGUAUCAGGGAGCGGAAGUUGUCAGGAUGUACAAAACCUUAUUAGGGAGUCAAGGUUUCAGAAAGGUAUUCUUGUGUGAUAAUCAGCUAUACCAUAAAAGUGUGCAUCCUGGAAAAUUUAACCACAAUUGUUUUUCGUAUUUCAGGGCAUGGAUCUUUAUUUUAAAAGACAUGAUGGUCAAGCUGUGACAUGUGAAGAUUUUUUUGCUGCCAUGCGAGAUGCAAAUGAUGCAGAUUUCGCUAAUUUCUUACAAUGGUAUAGACCUGUCUUUUAUUUUCUUUGAAUUACCCUCUGUUUUUUUAUGCUUACCUUGGAAUGUAAUAAAAUUACAGGUACUCCCAAGCUGGUACACCUCUGGUGAAAGUUACUUCAUCUUAUGAUGCUGAAGCUCAUACUUUCACCUUAAAGUUCAGGUAUACAUGCUAACUUCCUUGCGAGAGGCAUGAUCUUCCUUUAUUAGUCUUGUGGUAUGACUGACAACUCGGAAUCUGGAUAUUCCACAGUCAAGAAGUACCACCAACGCCAGGGCAACCAGUUAAAGAACCCAUGUUCAUUCCUGUGGUGUUAGGGCUGCUCGACACAAGUGGCAAGGACAUGUCACUCUCGUCUGUGUAUCAUGAUGGAGCAUUGAAGUCUAUUGCAAGUGACAGUCAACCAGCCUAUAGUACAAUUCUUAGAGUAACCAAGGUGAGAGCACACCGGUGAACCCAUGCUUGCUUUAUCUUUGCAUGUUUUAGUUUCUCCUUGGAUAUCUUGUUAACUGCAGUUGAUUUCCAAUGUCCUAUUUUUGAUUGUUUUGCCAGAUUUUUGGUUAAGCAUCAAAAUGGUCUUUUCAGAUUUUUCUGGGUUGGAUAUGUGUUACUAGUUAUUCAUAUGAAUUAGUGGUGUUCCUGGAUCUACUAUAAAGAUGUUAGUAGUUGUGGUUGGAGUUAGUUAGUAGUUAUAUGAUGCUUUUAUUGUGAUUUUUAUUUAUUGAGAUUAAAAAGAAAGGAAUUUAUAUCAUGCAUCACUUUUAUUAAUAAGAAGUGAAUUUACUGCUGAUGCUGCACAGAAAGAGGAGGAAUUUGUUUUCUCUGAUAUACUUGAGCGGCCAGUACCUUCUCUAUUGCGGGGUUUCAGCGCUCCAAUCCGUCUUGAAUCUGAUCUCUCUGACAGUGAUCUGUUUUUCCUCCUUGCUCAUGAUUCAGACGAAUUCAACCGGUUUGUCUAUCUCUAAGCAUUUGUGCCAUUUUUCUUACUUUAAAGUGACUGAUGGAAAGGUAUUUUAUACUCUUUAUUUUUUUGUUUCAGAUGGGAGGCUGGGCAAGUCUUGGCUAGAAAACUGAUGCUCAGUUUAGUCGCUGAUUUCCAACAAGGGAAACCAUUGGUUCUGAACCCAAAGUUUGUGCAAGGGCUAAGAAGCAUUCUUAGUGACUCGAACUUGGAUAAGGUAUGGCCAGUGUUUUUUCCUCAUCUUCCUCCUCUUGUUUGUGGGGAGGGAGGAGGUAGAAGAUUCAUGCACCAGAGUAGAUAGAAGAUGUAAUGCACUAAUGAGGCUUAAUCUUUUUGUUAUCCAGGAAUUUAUUGCAAAGGCAAUAACACUACCAGGUGAAGGAGAAAUAAUGGACAUGAUGGAAGUUGCAGAUCCUGAUGCUGUUCAUGCUGUUCGAUCUUUCAUCAGGAAGCAGCUUGCAUCUGAACUGAAAGCAGAGUUUUUACGCACAGUAUGGCCAGUCACCCUGGGUUUACUUUAUUUGUACUUAUGUCUCCACUUCUUGAUUAAUCACUUUGGGUGAAUGAAUUUGUCAUACUUCACAGGUCGAAAACAAUAGGAGCUCAGAAGAGUAUGUGUUUAACCAUCCUAACAUGGCUAGGCGUGCUCUAAAGAAUAUUGCCCUUGGUCUGUGUUUCUUGUCUUGUUCUUGUGUUUCUUGGCAUCAUGGUUUUUAAAGUUUCUAGAUUAUAGUAACUAAUUUAAGUAGUUACACCUGUCUUUUCCACCAUCUGCAGCAUAUCUUGCAUCACUUGAAGACCAGGAGUUAACUGAGCUUGCAUUGCAUGAGUACAAAACUGCCACAAAUAUGACCGAUCAAUUUGCAGCUUUGGCAGCCAUAGCCCAAAAUCCUGGGAAAACUUGUGAUGAAGUACUUGCUGACUUCUACACCAAGUGGCAGGAUGAAUUUUUGGUGAGUCUUUUGCUGAGAGCAAUUCAUUUUACUUGUUUUGUCGUGCCCUGUUUCACCAAGGACAAGUAUAUUUGGAAAACAAUGACUUCCAUGAGGCUAUUAUAUCAUUGGAAGCCAUUUCAAGGAACAGAGCAUUGAAGUAAUUUUGUUAUCUCUUGUUGGAUAAUAUGUUCUCUCUUUCUGUUAGGUUGUGAAUAAAUGGUUUGCCCUUCAAGCUAUGUCUGAUGUUCCUGGUAAUGUUGAGAAUGUUCGGAACCUCUUGAAUCAUCCAGCAUUUGAUCUGCGCAAUCCAAACAAGGUAUGCAAUCAUCAAUAACUGUUUAUGUUUGUUUGUGUGCGCACCUUCAUGUGUCAAUUUCGAAGUUUUGAUUGAAAUUGAACCCUUUGUGUGAUAUGCAGGUAUACUCACUCAUUGGAGGAUUCUGCAGCUCACUCGUGAAUUUCCAUGCAAAGGACGGGUCAGGCUACAAGUUCUUGGGGGAGAUUGUGGUGCAACUGGACAAAAUUAAUCCUCAGGUUUGUUUCUAUAUUACAUCCACGGAGUAGGAAGUAAAUUGUCGUUAUCACUAUGCACAUGGGAUUGAUCAUCUGUAGUUGCUUGUUCAAUAACCUCCAUGGAUUCCAGGUGGCAUCCCGCAUGGUAUCAGCCUUCUCAAGAUGGAAACGCUAUGAUGAAACCCGGCAAAACCUUGCCAAGGUAAGUAGCUGAUGCCAUUUUCUGUGGAAUAACCAUCCAAAAGCAUUGAUGUUGCAUACAUCAGAUUUACCUUUGAGAUUUGUUGUUGGCUGGCAUGUUAAUUUGUAUCCAAAUUGGCACGGUUUAAUGCAGGCACAGCUGGAGAUGAUCGUGUCUGCCAAUGGACUGUCAGAGAACGUAUUUGAGAUCGCCUCAAAAAGUUUAGCUGCUUAAAUGCCUAAAAUUUGCAGGUUGCAGUUGUUUGUCAUCAGUGCUUGCGACGGUGAUGUGGGACAAUAAGUGUGUUUGGCACAUUUGCAAGUUCACCAUGAUAAGCAUGCUGUCCUCAUUAUGUCUCUUCCAUGGAAGAGACGGGAUUAUGUAGCUUUCAAUACAUCUUUACAUGGAAUAUUUCGCAAAAUAAUACCCUGAUGAUGCUUUUUUCUUCUUGGUUGGGUGAACUAGAAU